GAGGAGUGUGUUCCACGAGGCUAGGUUUGGCUGUGGCAUGGAAUCAAAGAUCUCCUGUGCUUGAUCGAUAUGUCCAGCACGUGAAUAAGCGGCGAGCAUCGCAUUCCAGGUCACGGCAUCGCGCUCCGGCAUCGCAUCGAAAACGCGCCUGGCGAGCCCAAUGUCAUGGUUGCGUGAGUAGGCGCACAGCAUCAGAUUCCAGGAGAAGGCAUUCUUGUGCUGGAUCGCGUCAAAGAUCUCGCGCGCGCGCCUCAAAUCGCCGAGCUUGCCGUAGCGCUCAACGAGCUUGUUUAAAUCGAAGACCCUCUCGAUGGAAUCCAUCAGCGGGAAAGAAGAGAAUAGGUUAUCGUUUGCCCUAGUUUGGUUUUAGGGUUCUUGGUUCUUUGUUUGCAGGGAGAGCGAGGAGCGAUGGCGGCAGCGAUUGCGCCAGCUGAAGUGCCGAGGCCGCCACGAAUGCCGCAUGCCGGGCGAGCACCCCCGCGCUUGACUGUCGACCGUGAAAAGACAUGCCCGCUCUUGCUCAGGGUCUUCACAAAGCUUGGUGAGCAUCACAGUGUGGAAGAUUUUGCAGUGCGAGGGAAAGAGCCCAAGGAGGAAGUCCAAAUCUAUACCUGGAAGGACGCUACUCUCCGGGAGCUCACAGAGCUGGUGAAAGAGGUUGCUCCGGCUGCGCGAAAGCGAGACGCGAAACUAUCUUUUGCGUUUGUCUACCCUGAUCGCAGGGGCCGAAACAUUGUCCGAACGGUCGGAACGACAGUUGCCAGCCAUUCAAUGAGGCGAGGCCACGACGAUGACAAGAUGCUCCAGGAUCUCGGGUUUCAGAUUGGAGAUUUCCUAGACGUAGCGAUUCUUUGAGCGAGGUGGCUUUGUACGAUAUCUCAGCAGCUUGACAGAAGAGUGACAGCGACUCUGAGGAAGAUUUUCGUGUGUGAGUGUGGGCUCAGUGCGAUUUGCGGGCUUGUUUAUGGAUUCCAAGAACAUGGCAAGACCUCCGAGUGGAACAUCGAUGCGUUCUUGGGAAAGAGUAAACAAAUCUUGUGUGGGGGCAUGUUCAUUGGA